rnacentral:rRNA from 1 species
GAUUAACGCUGGCGGCAUGCCUAAUACAUGCAAAUCGAACGAAGUACUUGUACUUAGUGGUGAACGGGUGAGUAACACGUAUCCAAUCUACCUUUACGUUGGGGAUAACUGGUCGAAACACUACCUAAUACCGAAUAUCAACUUUUUCUCACAUGAGAUAAAGUUGAAAGGUCCCUUCAAGGACCGCCUUUAGAUGAGGGUGCGGCAUAUCAGAUAGUUGGUGAGGUAACGGCUCACCAAGUCGAUGACGUGUAGCUGUACUGAGAGGUAAAACAGCCACAAUGGGACUGACACACGGCCCAUACUCCUACGGGAGGCAGCAGUAGGGAAUUUUUCACAAUGGGCGAAAGCCUGAUGGAGCAAUGCCGCGUGAAUGAUGAAGGUCUUACAGAUUGUAAAAUUCUUUUAUUUGGGAAGAACGGUCAUAAUACGAAAUGAUUAUGAUUUGACUGUACCAUUUGAAUAAGUAUCGGCUAACUAUGUGCCAGCACCCGCGGUAAUACAUAGGAUGCAAGCGUUAUCCGGAUUUACUGGGCGUAAAACGAGCGCAGCGGAUUAGUAAGUUUGGUAUGAAAGACUUUUUGCUUAACAAGAGUUUGUAUCAAAAACUGCUAAUCUAGAGUGUAGUAGGGAGUUCUGGAAUUCCAUGUGGAGCGGUGGAAUGCGUAAUAUAUGGAAGAACACCGGUGGCGAAGGCAGAACUUAGGCUAUCACUGACGCUUAGCUCGAAAGUGUGGGGAGCAAAUAGG